UUGGGCACAAAUGUCACGAUCGCCUCCGCCUCGCUUCGCCCUAUCGCUGCGUUUGUCAGCUGCAGCCCCGCGAAGUUCUUGCAGCUCUUGCCGACGUGCUGGAGGGUUUUGUGGAUCGCGAACAUGUAGUGGCUGAGGAGGCCAGGGAUUUUCAGGAACCGGAGGCUGCCAGCGCUGCGGUCGAUGACCAUUUUCAUGAAAUUCGUGAUCGAGAAGUAUCGCCACAAAAUGUCAUUUUCGCGCGCGA
rnacentral:lncRNA from 1 species